GGAGUCGGCCAGGCAAUCGCGAGUUUUUCGAAACUCGAGGAAAGUCCGGGCUCCACAGGACAGGGUGCCAGGUAACGCCUGGGGGGUGUAAGCCUACGGAAAGUGCCGCAGAAAACAGACCGCCUGUUGUCAUUGAUUCGGCGAUUGCCGGGGCGUGCAACCGGUAAGGGUGAAAAGGUGCGGUAAGAGCGCACCGCGCUAUGGGUAACCAUAGUGGCAGGGUAAACCCCACCUGGAGCAAGACCAAAUAGGGGAACUGGCAGCGUCAGCUGCCGCGCGUGGUCCGCGCCGUUCCCGGGUAGGUCGCUCGAGCCCCGUGGCGACGCGGGGCCUAGAUGAAUGAUUGCCCAAGACAGAACCCGGCUUAUCGGCCGGCUCCCUCC
rnacentral:RNase_P_RNA from 1 species